AAGGUUAGCCAAAACAUAGCAGUUACGCAGUGAAGGAUAAUCUAAGCACAACUCGACAAGAUUCGCCAUUAGUUUUCAGCAUGAAGAACAUUAUUUUUCUUCUGUUUUGCUUUGUUGCGAUUCUGAGCUGUGCUGAACGAAGCGAUGGGUUUUCAAUGAAUCCUGGUGAAGUCACUGGGAAGAGAAACGAAGUACCGGAGAUGACCAGAUCACUGAAUGAUUUAGGCUUUUGCGAAGCUGCUCGUGCUCGAUGUGGAGGCCACUCUCGUGACUCUCAACAAACCAGUGUUAACUAGGAGCCAAACAGGAUUGACUAGUGUUAGAUGAACCGAAUGUUAGAACGAAAACGAGUUUUAGUUUGAAAAAAAUGAGUCAAGUGUAUAAGUUCAUAUCCUCUUGGUUAUAAUUAAAGAUACAAAAAAAAUGCA